rnacentral:lncRNA from 9 species
UGAAAAGUUAAAAAAUAUGAAGUGGACUAAACUGAUAUGUAGUCUGUUUUAUACUGUCUCAGUAAUUGCAGCAUAAGAAGGAAGCAGUGGGCAAUUUUGUAACUAUCCAGUUCUUGAUAUGAGGAAACAAUCUCAGGCCAUGCUUAGACCAAGACUGGUCUGGAGCAGCUGGCCAAUACCUUCUUAAUUUGGGAGCCACAUGGGACCGUACAGCAAAGGUCUUGCCUGGCAUUGGUUGAUGUAGAGCAAAAAAGAAGGAGAGGAAGAGAAGGAGGAGGAGUAUUGGAGAGAACAAAUUCUGUGGCUGGAAGAACUUGGAAGUGAGGACAGUAAGAAAGAUAUUUAAU